AAUACCUGGUUUGGUAGGGUCUCGGCUCC
rnacentral:piRNA from 1 species